rnacentral:rRNA from 1 species
AGUGAACGCUGGCGGUAUGCCUAACACAUGCAAGUCGAACGGCAGCACAGUAAGCGUUCUCUCUUACGGUUGGCGACUGGCGGACGGGUAAGGAAUACAUCGCAAUCUUCUUUUUCUUGGGUGAUAACGUAGGGAAACUUACGCUAAUACCUCAUACGUCCUACGGGAUAAAUCAGUGGUUCUUCGCACCUUUCGCGAUUCUUUUAGCUGAUGUCGCAUUAGCUAGUUGGCUAGGUAAAGGCCCACCAAGGCGACGAUGCGUAGCUGAUCUGAGAGGAUGAUCGGCCACACUGGAACUGAGACACGGUCCAGACUCCUACGGGAGGCAGCAGUAGGGAAUAUUGGGCAAUGGGCGAAAGCCUGAUGGAGCAACGCCGCGUGAGUGAAGAAGGCCUUCGGGUUGUAAAGCCCUGUUAUUAGGAAAGAAAAGAAGUGGAAUAAAACAUGGAUGUUUUGACGGUACCUAAACAGAAAGCACCGGCUAACUACGUG